GACGGUUUCCAGAGUCUGGCUCAUGAUAUCGCGACGUGUUGUUCGAACAUAAAAAGCUGCAGAAUUUUGACGUUUAAGUUUUGUUGUGAAGUUGCAAAAGGACUGUACUGAUGUAUCGGCAGAUUUUGCGAAGAUUCACAGUCGGGGCUGGUACAAAAACAGCGCUUUUUUACCACUGCCCUCGCCGAGUUCAGAGACACCUUUGCUCCAAAAGUGACGAGGUCCGACUGGCACAGGAGGCCAGCCAGAAGUACGGCUCCCCUGCUCCAACCAUCUUCUCCAAAGUCAUUGACAGAAGCCUACCUGCUGAUAUUAUUUAUGAGGAUGACAAGUGUUUGGCUUUCAGAGAUAUAAGUCCUCAGGCCCCCGUCCAUUUCCUGGUCAUUCCUAAAGUUCCCAUUCCCAGGAUAAGUGAAGCCAAAGAUGAUGACACUGAGCUUCUUGGACAUUUAUUGGUUGUUGCCAAAAAUGUUGCAAAGAAAGAAUGUUUACAGGAAGGAUACAGAGUUGUUAUAAAUGACGGCAAGCAUGGCGCACAAUCUGUCUACCACCUUCAUCUCCAUGUUUUGGGAGGAAGACAGAUGACAUGGCCACCGGGAUAACAUUAUGGCCUGAUAUUAAAAGAAAAACAAAUGUCAUAAACAUACAUUUUUCUGUCUGAAGGAACUGAGAGCAUAUUAUGGAUGUCCAACCACCUCCAGAGACUGGGUGACCAUGGGAGGGGUGUGGUGAGAUUCAGGCCAGGGGCAGAUGUGGUGUGACUGGUGGUAUGAUACUUCGACCUUGGUGCCCAGCAGUGAGGUUAUUGUGUGUCAUUGGAGAAGUGUGCUGAACUUUGCUCUAUAUUUACUGAAAAAACAGCACCGCCUUAACCUCAGCAGAAUCUGUGACAUCAGCUCAAGGAAAUAACUAAUGCAGGACAUAGACAUCUGUAAAAUAUAAUAAAUAACCAAAAAAUAAAACUAGGAGCAUAAAUUAAAUACUUAAUGCAAUUUGUAAUACAGAAGUAUUAAAGAGACAAGCAGGUGGUACCACCAGGCCAAGUUACAGGUUGGAUCUGUGAAGACAUGACCCUGCCCACUGUAAAAAUGUAGGUUAUUCCAAGGCAUUUCUGACCUAUAAAAAUACCCAUGAUGAAAUGCUAGAUAAUUAAUGCCAUGCUGUGGAACAUUCCAGAUAAUAGCAUCUUCAUGGAUGCAGAAGUUAUGCUUUAUGCCUUUUAAUUUAUAUGAAAAUUUGAAAACUUGAACUCUUUCAUGUUAAAUACUGUUUGUACAUAAUGGUGUAUUCUUGCGAACAGCAUUUGCAUUAAUUUGUAUUGAUUUGCAACAUCCAACUUUUACUGUAACCACCUCUGAAAGAAAAAAUAUGAAUUCUGUCUUUUUUAUGCUGCUUUUUUAUGAAAUUGUCACAAUUUUUUUUGAAAGGUAUAUUGUUUUGUGCACUCUACCUUUGUUAUCUGAAGUUGCAACAGACAUUAUAUUUUUAUGCUCCAAAGUCCAUAUAUUGUCGUAAAUAGCGUUUCAUCAUCCCACUGACAGGUCUCAUCAUGCCUAACUGAUAAUAACUUUCUUUAUAAGUCAGUUCAGUACUAAAGUUACAGACAUCAACCUUAACCCAUAUGAUUACAUCCUGUCAUUGUCUUUGUCCCAUAACAGUACCCAUAACAACACUCAUA